ACAGAGGGUCCGAGCGUUAUCCGGAUUUAUUGGGUUUAAAGGGUGCGUAGGCGGUUUUAUAAGUCAGCGGUGAAAUUUUCCGGCUCAACCGGGAUACUGCCGUUGAUACCGUAAGGCUAGGAUAUGGUUGCUGUGGGUGGAAUGUGUGGUGGAGCGGUGAAAUGCUUAGUGAUCACACAGAAUAUCGAUUGCGAAGGCAGCUCACAAAGCCAUUAUUGACGCUGGUGCACGUGAGUGUGGAGAUCAAACAA
rnacentral:rRNA from 1 species